rnacentral:rRNA from 1 species
GGAUGUUAGCGGCGGACGGGUGAGUAACACGUGGGUAACCUGCCUGUAAGACUGGGAUAACUCCGGGAAACCGGAGCUAAUACCGGAUAGUUCCUUGAACCGCAUGGUUCAAGGAUGAAAGACGGUUUCGGCUGUCACUUACAGAUGGACCCGCGGCGCAUUAGCUAGUUGGUGAGGUAACGGCUCACCAAGGCGACGAUGCGUAGCCGACCUGAGAGGGUGAUCGGCCACACUGGGACUGAGACACGGCCCAGACUCCUACGGGAGGCAGCAGUAGGGAAUCUUCCGCAAUGGACGAAAGUCUGACGGAGCAACGCCGCGUGAGUGAUGAAGGUUUUCGGAUCGUAAAGCUCUGUUGUUAGGGAAGAACAAGUGCAAGAGUAACUGCUUGCACCUUGACGGUACCUAACCAGAAAGCCACGGCUAACUACGUGCCAGCAGCCGCGGUAAUACGUAGGUGGCAAGCGUUGUCCGGAAUUAUUGGGCGUAAAGGGCUCGCAGGCGGUUUCUUAAGUCUGAUGUGAAAGCCCCCGGCUCAACCGGGGAGGGUCAUUGGAAACUGGGAAACUUGAGUGCAGAAUAGGAGAGUGAAAUUCCACGUGUACCGGUGAAAUGCUUAGAGAUGUGGAGGAACACCAGUGGCGAAGGCGACUCUCUGGUCUGUAACUGACGCUGAGGAGCGAAAGCGUGGGGAGCGAACAGGAUUAGAUACCCUGGUAGUCCACGCCGUAAACGAUGAGUGCUAAGUGUUAGGGGGUUUCCGCCCCUUAGUGCUGCAGCUAACGCAUUAAGCACUCCGCCUGGGGAGUACGGUCGCAAGACUGAAACUCAAAGGAAUUGACGGGGGCCCGCACAAGCGGUGGAGCAUGUGGUUUAAUUCGAAGCAACGCGAAGAACCUUACCAGGUCUUGACAUCCUCUGACAACCCUAGAGAUAGGGCUUUCCCUUCGGGGACAGAGUGACAGGUGGUGCAUGGUUGUCGUCAGCUCGUGUCGUGAGAUGUUGGGUUAAGUCCCGCAACGAGCGCAACCCUUGAUCUU